rnacentral:rRNA from 1 species
AGAGUUUGAUCAUGGCUCAGGAUGAACGCUAGCGGCAGGCCUAAUACAUGCAAGUCGAACGCUCAGUAGCAAUACUGGGAGUGGCGCACGGGUGCGUAACGCGUACACAAUCUACCUCUAAGCGGGGGACACCUCCUGGAAACGGGGAUUAAUACCGCAUAAUAUGCCGAAGUCGCAUGACUUUGGUAUUAAAGCAGCAAUGCACUUAGAGAUGAGUGUGCGUCCCAUUAGGUAGUUGGUGAGGUAACGGCUCACCAAGCCUAUGAUGGGUAGCCGGUCUGAGAGGAUGGUCGGCCACACGGGCACUGAGACACGGGCCCGACUCCUACGGGAGGCAGCAGUAAGGAAUAUUGGUCAAUGGUGGAAACACUGAACCAGCCAUGCCGCGUGGAGGAAUAAGGUCCUACGGAUUGUAAAUUCCUUUUGACGAGGAAGAAAAUGUUAGAUUUAUCUAAUUUUGACGGUACUCGUAGAAUAAGCACCGGCUAACUCCGUG